UACGUACCGUCCAAACGUUAUUCGGAAUUACUGGGCUUAAAGGGUACGUAGGCGGCGCUGUCAGUCGGGUGUGAAAUCCCUCGGCCCAACCGAGGAACUGCGCCCGAUACUGCAGUGCUUGAGGGAGACAGAGGUAAGCGGAACUGAUGGUGGAGCGGUGAAAUGCGUUGAUAUUUAGGGGAACACCAAAAGCGAAGGCAGGAAACUGGACCAUACCUGACACUGAAACACGAAAGCGUGGGUAGCGAAUGGG
rnacentral:rRNA from 1 species